rnacentral:rRNA from 1 species
UACGUAGGGUGCGAGCGUUGCCCGGAUUUAUUGGGCGUAAAGGGCGCGUAGGUGGCCCGGUCAGUUCGUGGUGAAAGCGCGGGGCUCAACCCUGCGUCGGCCAUGAAUACUGCCGCGGCUGGAGCACUGUAGAGGCAGGCGGAAUUCCGGGUGUAGCGGUGGAAUGCGUAGAGAUCCGGAAGAACACCGGUGGCGAAGGCGGCCUGCUGGGCAGUUGCUGACACUGAGGCGCGACAGCGUGGGGAGCAAACAGG